AGAGUUUGAUCCUGGCUCAGGAUGAACGCUGGCGGCGUGCCUAAUACAUGCAAGUCGAACGGGAAGCCUCGUGUUUACAUGAGGUGGAGAGUGGCGCCCGGGUGAGUAACACGUAGCUGAUCUGCCCUUCGCAGGGGGAUAACAUCGAGAAAUCGAUGCUAAUACCGCGUACGCUCGAGAGGACUAGAAGCUCUUGAGGAAAGCUCCGGCGGCGAAGGAGGAGGCUGCGUCCCAUCAGCUCGUUGGUGCGGUAAAAGCGCACCAAGGCAACGACGGGUAGGGGACCUGAGAGGGUGACCCCCCACACUGGUACUGACACACGGACCAGACUCCUACGGGAGGCAGCAGUAAGGAAUAUUGCGCAAUGGAGGCAACUCUGACGCAGCAACGCCGCGUGCGGGAAGAAGGUCUUCGGAUCGUAAACCGCUUUUCUAAGGGAAGAGAACGGACGGUACCUUAGGAAUAAGUCUCGGCUAACUACGUGCCAGCAGCCGCGGUAAAACGUAGGAGGCAAGCGUUAUCCGGAUUUACUGGGCGUAAAGCGCGUGCAGGCGGUUGGGUAAGUCGUGCGUGAAAGCUCCCAGGCUCAACCGGGAGAGGUCGUGCGAUACUGCUUAACUAGAGGCAGAGAGAGGCAAGUAGAAUUCUGGGUGUAGUGGUGAAAUGCGUAGAUAUCCGGAAGAUACCAGUGGCGA
rnacentral:rRNA from 1 species